AACAAAAAAUGAAAAAAAA
rnacentral:sRNA from 1 species